rnacentral:rRNA from 1 species
GACGAACGCUGGCGGCGUGCUUAACACAUGCAAGUCGAACGGAAAGGCCCUGCCUUUGUGGGGUGCUCGAGUGGCGAACGGGUGUGUAACACGUGAGUAACCUGCCCUUGACUUUGGGAUAACUUCAGGAAACUGGGGCUAAUACCGGAUAGGAGCUCCUGCUGCAUGGUGGGGGUUGGAAAGUUUCGGCGGUUGGGGAUGGACUCGCGGCUUAUCAGCUUGUUGGUGGGGUAGUGGCUUACCAAGGCUUUGACGGGUAGCCGGCCUGAGAGGGUGACCGGCCACAUUGGGACUGAGAUACGGCCCAGACUCCUACGGGAGGCAGCAGUGGGGAAUAUUGCACAAUGGGCGGAAGCCUGAUGCAGCAACGCCGCGUGCGGGAUGACGGCCUUCGGGUUGUAAACCGCUUUCGCCUGUGACGAAGCGUGAGUGACGGUAAUGGGUAAAGAAGCACCGGCUAACUACGUG